CCCUUAGAUGUUCUGGGCGGCCCGCGCACUACAAUGGCGUGUGCAGCGAGUGCCGAAGUAGAGUUUUCCGAGGUAUUCUUGCAAUGCUCGUUUUGAUGGGGAUAGACCCUUGCAACUGUUGGUUUUGAACGAGGAAUUCCUUGUAAGCAUGGUUUAACAUCCGACGCUGAAUGCGUCCCUGCCCUUUGUACACACCGCCCGUCGCUCCUACCGAUGAGUCGUCCGGUGAAGUUCGUAGACCUCGUGAUCGCGGAUCACUGGGGGAAGCAAAAUGAACCUCGCGGUUUAGAGGAAGGAGAAGUCGUAACA
rnacentral:rRNA from 1 species